rnacentral:rRNA from 1 species
CCGCGUGAGUGAGGAAGGCCUUCGGGUCGUAAAGCUCUGUUGUUAGGGAAGAACAAGUACCGUCGAACAGGGCGGUACCUUGACGGUACCUAACCAGAAAGCCACGGCUAACUACGUGCCAGCAGCCGCGGUAAUACGUAGGUGGCAAGCGUUGUCCGGAAUUAUUGGGCGUAAAGCGCGCGCAGGCGGUCUCUUAAGUCUGAUGUGAAAGCCCACGGCUCAACCGUGGAGGGUCAUUGGAAACUGGGGGACUUGAGUACUGGAGAGGAGAGUGGAAUUCCAUGUGUAGCGGUGAAAUGCGUAGAUAUAUGGAGGAACACCAGUGGCGAAGGCGGCUCUCUGGCCAGUAACUGACGCUGAGGCGCGAAAGCGUGGGGAGCAAACAGGAUUAGAUACCCUGGUAGUCCACGCCGUAAACGAUGAGUGCUAGGUGUUGGGGGGUUCCACCCUCAGUGCUGACGUUAACACAUUAAGCACUCCGCCUGGGGAGUACGACCGCAAGGUUG